rnacentral:rRNA from 1 species
UCAGUCGACUCCUACGGGGAGGCAGCAGUGGGGGGAAUAUUGCACAAUGGGCCGCAAGCCUGAUGCAGCCAUGCCGCGUGUAUGAAGAAGGCCUUCGGGUUGUAAAGUACUUUCAACAGUGAGGAAGGUGGAUAUGUUAAUAGCAUAUUCAUUUGACGUUAGCUGCAGAAGAAAGCACCGGCUAACUCCGUGCCAGCAGCCGCGGUAAUACGGAGGGUGCGAGCGUUAAUCGGAAUUACUGGGCGUAAAGCGCAUGCAGGUGGUUUGUUAAGUCAGAUGUGAAAGCCCGGGGCUCAACCUCGGAAUUGCAUUUGAAACUGGCAAACUAGAGUACUGUAGAGGGGGGUAGGAAUUUCAGGUGUAGCGGUGAAAUGCGUAGAGAUCUGAAGGAAUACCGGUGGCGAAGGCGGCCCCCUGGACAGAUACUGACACUCAGAUGCGAAAGCGUGGGGAGCAAACAGGAUUAGAUACCCUGGUAG